rnacentral:rRNA from 1 species
AGCGAACGCUGGCGGCAGGCCUAACACAUGCAAGUCGAACGAACCUUUCGGGGUUAGUGGCGGACGGGUGAGUAACACGUGGGAACGUGCCUUUAGGUUCGGAAUAACUCAGGGAAACUUGUGCUAAUACCGAAUGUGCCCUUCGGGGGAAAGAUUAAUCGCCUUUAGAGCGGCCCGCGUCUGAUUAGCUAGUUGGUUGAGGUAAUGGCUCACCAAGGCGACGAUCAGUAGCUGGUCUGAGAGGAUGAUCAGCCACAUUGGGACUGAGACACGGCCCAAACUCCUACGGGAGGCAGCAGUGGGGAAUCUUGCGAAAUGGGCGAAAGCCUGACGCAGCCAUGACGCGUGAAUGAUGAAGGUCUUAGGAUUGUAAAAUUCUUUCACCGGGGACGAUAAUGACGGUACCCGGAGAAGAAGCCCCGGCUAACUUCGUG